GAUGAACGCUGGCGGCGUGCCUAAUACAUGCAAGUCGAGCGAACGGACGAGAAGCUUGCUUCUCUGAUGUUAGCGGCGGACGGGUGAGUAACACGUGGAUAACCUACCUAUCAGACUGGGAUAACUUCGGGAAACCGGAGCUAAUACCGGAUAAUAUUUUGAACCGCAUGGUUCAAAAGUGAAAGACGGUCUUGCUUUCACUUAUAGAUGGAUCCGCGCUGCAUUAGCUAGUUGGUAAGGUAACGGCUUACCAAGGCAACGAUGCAUAGCCGACCUGAGAGGGUGAUCGGCCACACUGGAACUGAGACACGGUCCAGACUCCUACGGGAGGCAGCAGUAGGGAAUCUUCCGCAAUGGGCGAAAGCCUGACGGAGCAACGCCGCGUGAGUGAUGAAGGUCUUCGGAUCGUAAAACUCUGUUAUUAGGGAAGAACAUAUGUGUAAGUAACUGUGCACAUCUUGACGGUACCUAAUCAGAAAGCCACGGCUAACUACGUG
rnacentral:rRNA from 1 species